rnacentral:rRNA from 1 species
UACGUAGGGUGCAAGCGUUGUCCGGAAUUAUUGGGCGUAAAGAGCUCGUAGGCGGUUUGUCGCGUCGGCUGUGAAAACCCGAGGCUCAACCUCGGGCCUGCAGUCGAUACGGGCAAACUAGAGUGUGGUAGGGGAGACUGGAAUUCCUGGUGUAGCGGUGAAAUGCGCAGAUAUCAGGAGGAACACCGAUGGCGAAGGCAGGUCUCUGGGCAUUAACUGACGCUGAGGAGCGAAAGCAUGGGGAGCGAACAGG